GAUGAACGCUAGCGGCAGGCCUAAUACAUGCAAGUCGAACGGGAUUAAGGAGCUUGCUUCUUAUGAGAGUGGCGCACGGGUGCGUAACACGUAUGCAACCUACCUUCAACAGGGGGAUAGCCUUCCGAAAGGGAGAUUAAUACCGCAUAAUAUAACUAAACGGCAUCGUUCGUUUAUCAAACAAUAAGGGUUGAAGAUGGGCAUGCGUCCGAUUAGUUAGUUGGUGAGGUAACGGCUCACCAAGACCACGAUCGGUAGGGGAUCUGAGAGGAUGACCCCCCACACUGGUACUGAGACACGGACCAGACUCCUACGGGAGGCAGCAGUAAGGAAUAUUGGUCAAUGGACGGAAGUCUGAACCAGCCAUGCCGCGUGCAGGAAGACGGUCCUCUGGAUUGUAAACUGCUUUUGUUAGGGAAGAAACCCUCGGAUGCGUUCGAGGCUGACGGUACCUAAAGAAUAAGGAUCGGCUAACUCCGUGCCAGCAGCCGCCGUAACAC
rnacentral:rRNA from 1 species